GAUCUAGCACGAUCCUGCGCCAACUGCGCACGCUCCCGCAACGACGGUCGGCCUCGGCGACGAUACAUAGCUGAAAGGAACAAAUCGGGGUCAGAUACAACGCACACUCUCGACCCAAUCAACGAAAGUCUAGAAGGCGGUCCCUGUUUUCCUCCAAAAUUAUGUCGUCUGCAGCCAACAUAAUUUCUCAGGCCAAAACAGAAACUCCUUCAGUCACUCACUCUACUCUAAGAGGAGUUAAAACAAAUAAUCAUUGACUUUCGCACUAAAAUUACGCCUCUCACGUCUUGCUUCCAUAAGGUUUGCCAAACUUAGGUUUCCUAGGUCCCCACGACCUACAGCAAAGCUCUGAUACCAACUUAAUCUGUCACGCCCCGGAUUACACGUUUUUCGGGCACGCCGACAAAUCCGCCGUAUACAAAGAAAUUUUUCCUAUAUACGAAGCGACAGCUGUACCUGUAAAACAUACAAUACUACAAAUAGUAGUAUAGAGCUGCUAGAAGAACUAGUAAAGUAAAAGAAACCGAGUUCCAUAUACAUACACUGAAUCCCAGAGUACAUGCCAGAUAUCCAGCACGAGCGUAAAUGCCUUCUAACUACCCCAGAUAUCCAUCGCACUGAUACUGCAACGAUACAAUCGAACCACGGCUCCUAGAGCUAAAUCUGAUAGUUUAAGCAUAUGACGAGUCAAAACGCAGGUUUUCUCCUAAGUCAAUUUUAAGUCCAACAUGUAUAAUGAA
rnacentral:lncRNA from 1 species